rnacentral:rRNA from 1 species
AUUGAACGCUGGCGGCAGGCCUAACACAUGCAAGUCGGACGGUAGCACAGAGGAGCUUGCUCCUCGGGUGACGAGUGGCGGACGGGUGAGUAAUUUCUGGGGAUCUGCCCGAUAGAGGGGGAUAACCACUGGAAACGGUGGCUAAUAACGCAUAACGUCGCAAGACCAAAGAGGGGGACCUUCGGGCCUCUCACUAUCGGAUGAACCCAGAUGGGAUUAGCUAGUAGGCGGGGUAAUGGCCCACGUAGGCGACGAUCCCUAGCUGGUCUGAGACGAUGACCAGCCACACUGGAACUGAGACACGGUCCAGACUCCUACGGGAGGCAGCAGUGGGGAAUAUUGCACAAUGGGCGCAAGCCUGAUGCAGCCAUGCCGCGUGUAUGAAGAAGGCCUUCGGGUUGUAAAGUACUUUCAGCGGGGAGGAAGGCGAUGUGGUUAAUAACCGCAUUGAUUGACGUUACCCGCAGAAGAAGCACCGGCUAACUCCGUGCCAGCCGCCGCGGUAA